rfam:Corchorus olitorius cultivar O-4 contig16633, whole genome shotgun sequence.
GGGUUCGAUCAUACCAGCACUAAUGCACCGGAUCCGAUCAGAUUUCCACAGUUAAGCACGCUUGGGCGAGAGUAGUACUAGGAUGGGUGACCUACUGGGAAGACCUCGUGUUGCACCCC